rnacentral:lncRNA from 1 species
ACGGAGUCUCACUCUGUAGCUGGAGUGCAGUGGCACGAUCCUGGUGCACUACAACCUCCGCCUCCCAGAUUCAAGCGGUUCUCCUGCCUCAGCCUCCCGAGUAGCUGGGACUACAGUGCCUGAAUUGUUUUCUUCGGAAGAAUGGAGACCAUAGUAGUACCCAUCUCAUAGAUCUGUAAGUAAUAAAUAAGUUACGCAUGCAAAAAACACUUAAAAGAGUAUCUGCCACGUGACAAGCACUCAUAUGCAUUAGCUACUAUCAUUAUUAGUUUAGUUACAAGUUUAGUUAAUUAAUAAUUUAGUUAUUUUAUAGAGGAAUAAAAGUACAAUUUGAUAUGGAGUUGUGUCUGAGAAGAUUGUUAUUGAUUUAGCAAAGAUAUAACAUAUGCUUUAUAUAUUUCAAAAAAUAAAUAGUCCAAUAUAUAAGAAUUUCUACAGACAAUUUAUAACUGAUUCUCAAAUUAUAGUAUGUUAUGAUCAACAAAUACAAUAAAAUCUAUAAUUAUAAAAACAUGACAUUAAAUAAACUUUAUUAUUUGAAGUCUACAUGCACUUAUAAAAUGUUCUCUGGACCUUCAGAUCAAAACUAAAUCAAUAUCCAUUAUUUGGACAAAUAACCCAUGUAAGAAUAGCAAGCAGAGAAAAUUACUGAAAAAAUACCCAGUGACAUCUAUUACCCAGUCUCUACUAAUCCACAGGGAUGAAUUUAAACCUGUUGCUUUAAAUUUUAGCUACUUACCACUGAAUGACCUUGAGAGCUAUGUUAGAGUGGUCAUUUUCUCCUGACUGUCUCUGCUGAUUGCCUGACUUAACAGUUUCUAUUGCUGCUGACAUGUCUGUAAAUGACCACAAACAAUGCAAGGAUUUUGGUCUUUUUAAUAACUUCAAUUGCUAUGCAUUUAUUAUUAUAAGUCAUUCUCAAAUUAACUGGUGAGAAUAGCCAUCAAAACUGGUUGUAGUUUGUUCACAGGGUGGCCUUCUUAGGCUAACUGUGGUAGCUAAGCUGUGGUCACUAACUGUGGUAGCUAAGCUGAUGGAGAGAGGUACUAGGGGCCCGUGCAGUGGCUCACGCUUAUAAUCCCAGCACUUUGGGAGGCAGAGGCAGGCAGAUCACUUGAGGUCAGGAGUUCCAAACCAGCUUGGCCAAGAUGGUGAAAUCCCAUUUUUACCAAAAAAAAAAAAAAAAAAAAAAAAGAAAAAGAAAAAGAAAGAAAAAAAAAGGAAAAGAAGACAAUUAGCCAGGCAUGGUGGUGCGUGCCUGUACUGGCAUGUACUUAGUAGGUUGAGACAGAGAAUCGCUUGAACCUGUGAGGCGGUGGUUGCAGUGAGCCGCGAUCAUGCCACUGCAUUCUAGUCUGGGUAACAGAGAGAGAUUCCAUCUCCCCCGCUGCCCCGCAAAAAAAAAAAAAAAAAAUUAAAAAUAAAAACACCAGGGAGUUAACUAGCUUUGUGCUCUGCCUAGGAGUGUGGGUGAAGAAUGUGGCAGGUAUGUUUUGGUAGAAGGAAGGAGGUUCAGGUUAGGAUACUAUUGAGACUGGUUAAACAUGUUCAAUGAGAAAAUGUUAUUAAAAUGAAUAAAAACAGCAUAUUGUGGCUGUGGAAAUCAUUACUAUGGGAUGUGGGAAGUUAUUAUAUUUGUGUGUGGCUGUGGCUGUUGUUUUUUUUUUUUGAUCAGGUGCAAAAUGAAACUCUCAGAAUUUUUGGAAUAUAGAGACAGGGAUGGAAAAAAACAUCCCUGUGUUUAAAGGAAAUAAAAGACACCCCACAAAAUAUUACGAUAUGAUUUUAGCUUAGAUUUCUCUUCACAGCAUUUGGUUGUUUCUUUGUUUUCCAAUUACUUCCUUUUCUGUGUUGCUUUCCUGAUCUGGAUCUAUGUAGCAAGCUAUGUUGCCUCUGUCAUUGAAAUGGACAAGAUAGGAAAUUGUAUUCCUAGUGAGAAACUAGCAGCUAUCUCCCCCUCCACACACACAUGAACCUCCAAAAGGUAUUAUUCUACACUGGCAAUUAUUUUGAACAAUAACUAGCUUCAGUGAAUUAAAUUCAUUUUUCCCCUAUUCCUACUGCCACUUAGCUGCAGGUUACAGCAUCUGAAAAAUACUUUAUUUCAGGCAGUUGGACUGUCUAUUUCUUAUCUCAUGGAGUGCACAAACAAGAGCCAAAGAUCGUAAGAUUUCUUUUCCUUUUCUUUUUGGUCUACUAGGUUGUUACCUUGUAAUUCAUCCUUUGUAGUUACCUUAAAAGCAUAAUAAUGAUAAUUUGCAAAACUUCGGUAAAGAUAAACCAAGGAAAGUUUAUCCCCACAUGUUCAAGCUUACUAUUUCCCCUCGGGUUACAUAGUUUGCAACAACACAGCAGGUUGUAAUAUCCAUGAAAUAAGAAUCUUAUGAGCGGAGGAAACCCAUUUCUAAGGACAGUUGGAAACUGCUUGCCUGAGAUGCUGCUGCUUAGAAUCAAAGAUACCAUGUGGUGACAUAUUUCUAAAGAAUGAGAUCCUUCUGUUUGUGGAACUUUACACUGUUUGACAAUUUAUUUUUAUUUCAAAAAAAAAAUUCAAAAUAGAAGGCAGUUUGAUCUCAUAAUUUAGGGUAGUACUCUGAAAGGCACCCUCCUUGUCUCCCAGGGAAUUUUGAAGCCAGUAGGGUUGGUAAAAAUGAUAUGGGUCUGGGAAAGUGCUGCAUUAUCAAACUUCUAACUAAGGAACCAGAUGGUGUUUACAUGAGUCAACUCCCACCCAAUUGGCUUUCUCAGCUGUAUUUAAAGUAGAAAGAUGAAGACAGCAGAAAUUACCAGAAUAUAGUUUGAAGAAGAGAUUUAACUAUGUCACAGCUUAUGAUGAAGCAAUUUCAAGAUAAUGUUUCUGAGGAUGUAUCUUAUACUGUCUUUCCUCUAGGAAAUGCUUGGAAUAGACAAAAUUAUAUAUAUAUACAUAUGUGUGUAUAUAUAUGUAUGUAUUUCCAAUCAGUCCUACAUGUAUCUACUCAAUAUAUCAUAUACACAUAAUGAUUGUGUUAAAAAUAAGAUCUAAUUAUAAAGAAAUGCAUCUAUUAACAUAUAUCCAUGGCAUUGAUGUUGAAGAAACGUGAUGUUGAAAUAUCCCAUGUUUAAAAGUGAAUGUGCUUUCAGAAUCAGCUAAAACCAAUGGGAAUGUGUGUUGAGAGGUGGCAGUGUGAUUCUGGAAUUUUCUGAAACCUUAGAGAAUGCAGGUAUAUGAUAAAAAGCUUUUCAGAGGAAGUAGAGCUUUAGUAUUAAGUAAAGAAAAGAUGAAGUAUAAUAAGAAUUUUAGAAUGGUGAUAUAUACAUACGAGAAGGUUUAAAAAAUGUGCUUGGGAAAGGUUAUUAGCACAAUCAUAUUAGACAGAAUGUCUGCGUCAGACUCUUCUUAAUGCCUAGAGGCUCUGAUUUAUUAAAACUUCCUGGAAAUUAGAUCUUGCCUUAGGCCAUUGGAGUAGCUAACUUCUUUGUCAAUCAGAUAAAGCAAACCAUAUGAGGCAGAAGAAUAACUGCCACUUAAAAAGAGCAAGAAAAUAAACCAUAUAAAUUUUAGUUAGGUUUUUAUUGGUAAAGCAUAAGAACAUACCAAGCCUGAGAUUGUGAGCUUUUUAGAGUGACAAUUGCCAAUUUAUGAUAGAGCAGC